rnacentral:rRNA from 1 species
UAGGGAAUAUUGGACAAUGGGCGAAAGCCUGAUCAGCCAUGCCGCGUGGGGGAUGAAGGCCUUCGGGUCGUAAACCCCUUUUCCAAGGGAAGAACAGCCGGGGGUGGUAAUGCUCCCGGUCUGACGGUACCUUGGGAAUAAGCAACGGCUAACUCCGUGCCAGCAGCCGCGGUAAUACGGAGGUUGCAAGCGUUGUUCGGAAUAACUGGGCGUAAAGGGAGCGCAGGCGGUUUGGUCAGUCUGAAGUGGAAGCCCGGGGCUCAACUCCGGAAGUGCUUUGGAUGCUGCCGGACUUGAGUUCGUGUGAGGAGAGUGAAAUUCCGGGUGUAGCGGUGAAAUGCAUAGAUAUCUGGAGGAACACAGGUGGCGAAAGCGACUCUCUGGCACGAUACUGACGCUGAGGCUCGAAAGCGUGG